rnacentral:misc_RNA from 1 species
GAAAUGCGAUAACUAGGGUGAAUUGCAGAAUUCCGUGAAUCAUCGAGUCUUUGAACGCACAUUGCGCCCCCUGGUAUUCCGGGGGGCAUGCCUGUCCGAGCGUCAUUGCUGCCCAUCAAGCACGGCUUGUGUGUUGGGUCGUCGUCCCCUCUCCGGGGGGGACGGGCCCCAAAGGCAGCGGCGGCACCGCGUCCGAUCCUCGAGCGUAUGGGGCUUUGUCACCCGCUCUGUAGGCCCGGCCGGCGCUUGCCGAACGCAAAUCAAUCUUUUUCCAGGUUGACCUCGGAUCAGGUAGGGAUACCCGCUGAACUUAAGC